rnacentral:rRNA from 1 species
GUGCCAGCAGCCGCGGUAAUACGGAGGAUGCGAGCGUUAUCCGGAUUUAUUGGGUUUAAAGGGUGCGCAGGCGGUUUGUUAAGUCUGUGGUGAAAGCGUGCGGCUCAACCGUACCAAGCCAUGGAAACUGGCGAACUUGAGUGUAAACGAGGUAGGCGGAAUGUGAUGUGUAGCGGUGAAAUGCUUAGAUAUGUCACAGAACCCCGAUUGCGAAGGCAGCUUACCAGCAUACAACUGACGCUCAGGCACGAAAGCGUGGGUAUCAAACAGGAUUAGAUACCCUGGUAGUCCACGCAGUAAACGAUGAAUACUAGCUGUUGGCGAUAUAAGGUCAGCGGUACAGCGAAAGUGUUAAGUAUUCCACCUGGGGAGUACGCCGGCAACGGUGAAACUCAAAGGAAUUGACGGGGGCCCGCACAAGCGGAGGAACAUGUGGUUUAAUUCGAUGAUACGCGAGGAACCUUACCCGGGCUUGAAAGUUAGUGACGGACUGUGAAAGCGGUCUUCCCUUCGGGGCACGAAACUAGGUGCUGCAUGGUUGUCGUCAGCUCGUGCCGUGAGGUGUCGGCUUAAGUGCCAUAACGAGCGCAACCCUUGCCGUUAGUUGCCAGCGGGUAAUGCCGGGAACUCUAGCGGGACUGCUACUGUAAGGUAGAGGAAGGUGGGGAUGACGUCAAAUCAGCACGGCCCUUACGUCCGGGGCGACACACGUGUUACAAUGGUGGGUACAGAGGGUUGCUACCACGCGAGUGGAUGCUAAUCUCAUAAAACCCAUCUCAGUUCGGAUCGGAGUCUGCAACUCGACUCCGUGAAGCUGGAUUCGCUAGUAAUCGCGCAUCAGCCAUGGCGCGGUGAAUACGUUCCCGGGCCUUGUACACACCGCCCGA